UACGUAGGGUGCAAGCGUUGUCCGGCAUUCUUGGGCGUAAAGAGCUCGUAGGCGGUUUGUCGCGUCGAAUGUGAAAACCCGGGGCUCAACCCCGGGCCUGCAUUCGAUACGGGCAGACUAGAGUUCGGUAGGGGAGUCUGGAAUUCCUGGUGUAGCGGUGAAAUGCGCAGAUAUCAGGAGGAACACCGGUGGCGAAGGCGGGGCUCUGGGCCGAAACUGACGCUGAGGAGCGAAAGCGUGGGGAGCGAACAGG
rnacentral:rRNA from 1 species